CUGAUCAAGAAAGCUGACCUCUGCUUGCAAGCUAGCACUCCUGGAGGAGCCCGCGCCUGAUUAGCUAGUUGGUGAGGUAAUGGCUCACCAAGGCAUCGAUCAGUAGCCGCCCUGAGAGGGUGAUCGGCCACACUGGGACUGAGCCACGGCCCAGACUCUUACGGGAGCCACCAGUGGGGAAUAUUGGCCAAUGGGCGCAAUCCUGAUCCAGCAACGCCGCGUGGAGGACGAAGGUCUUCGGAUCGUAAACUCCUGUCAGGUGGGACGAAGACUCGUCGGUCAAUAGCUGUCGAGUUUGACGGUACCACCAGAGGAAGCCCCGGCUAACUCCGUGCCAGCAGCCGCGGUAAUACGGAGGGGGCGAGCGUUAUUCGGAAUUAUUGGGCGUAAAGGGCGCGUAGGCGGCCUUGUAAGUCAAAGGUGAAAUCCCUCGGCUCAACUGAGGAACUGCCUUUGAAACUGCAAGGCUUGAGGCCGGGAGGGGGUAGCGGAAUUCCCAAUGUAGCGGUGAAAUGCGUAGAUAUUGGGAGGAACACCAGUGGCAAAGGCGGCUACCUGGUCCGGUUCUGACGCUGAGGCGCGAAAGCGUGGGUAGCAAACAGGAUUAGAUACCCUGGUAGUCCACGCUGUAAACGAUGGGUGCUCGGUGUCGCGGGUAUCGACCCCUGCGGUGCCUUAGCUAACGCGUUAAGCACCCCGCCUGGGGAGUACGGUCGCAAGGCUGAAACUCAAAGG
rnacentral:rRNA from 1 species